UUGGACUGGAGACGGCCAGAUCUACGAAGUCACAGUGAUCUGCCAUGAGAACUCGAUGCACGAUGCGUGAGUGAGAGGCUAGCUGUAGCUCAUUGUCGAAGAUAAUGACUGUAACGAGGAUAGUCGCUACUCGUGCAGCAGCGCGUAUACGAGGGACUAGCGUAUCGAUAACUGGCGUAAAGCGCGCGUAGCGUAGUAGUAUGUGAAAGCCCAAAGCUCACUUUGGAAUGCAAUAAAACUACUUAGCUAGAGUCAUCAGAGGAAAGCGGAAUACAUAGUGUAGAGGUGAAAUUCGUAGAUAUUAUGUAGAACACCAGUUGCGAAGGCGGCUUUCUGGGAUAAUACUGACGCUGAGGUGCGAAAGUAUGGGUAGCGAAGAGGAUUAGAUACCCUCGUAGUCCAUACCGUAAACGAUGAUUGUUAGAUGUUGGAAAUUUAUUUUCAGUAUCACAGCUAACGCGUUAAACAAUCCGCCUGGGGAGUACGACCGCAAGGUUAAAACUCAAAUGAAUUGACGGGGGACCCGCACAAGCGGUGGAGCAUGUGGUUUAAUUCGAAGCUACGCGCAGAACCUUACCAACACUUGACAUGUCUGUCGCGGAUUCCAGAGAUGGAUUCCUUCGGUUCGGCCGGACAGAACACAGGUGCUGCAUGGCUGUCGUCAGCUCGUGUCGUGAGAUGUUGGGUUAAGUCCCGCAACGAGCGCAACCCCUACUUCUAGUUGCCAUCAGGUUAAGCUGGGCACUCUAGUAGGACUGCCUGUGAUAAGCAGGAGGAAGGUUGGGAUGACGUCAAGUCCUCAUGGCCCUUACGUGUUGGGCUACACACGUGCUACAAUGGCAGUGACAAUGAGAUGCUAAACAGCGAUGUUAAGCUAAACUCAAAAACCUGCCUCAGUUCGGAUUGCACUCUGCAACUCGAGUGCAUGAAGCUGGAAUCGCUAGUAAUCGCUCAUCAGCGCGGAGCGGUGAAUACGUUCCCGGGUCUUGUACACACCGCCCGUCACACCAUGGAAGUUGGUUUUACCUUAAAGCAUGUCACUAACCCUCGGGAAGUGCGUGACCACGGUAUGAUCGGCGACUGGGGUGAAGUCGUAACAAGGUAACCGUA
rnacentral:rRNA from 1 species